AGGAGAGAAUAGGACCUUCACUAAGCUCCAACCACAUGGUCCCUAUUAUAGCUAGACAAACUCGUUUUCCAACAUACUAUCUUCUUUGACAACGAUACUCUUUAUUUUGUAGUUGCAUUGCUUCUUUGGACAAUGUUGAGUAGUGUACUUAGGUUCUCUAUAAUACAAGUAGAAUCCUUUUUGACAAUGAUAAAUCUUUUCUUAUUCAAUAAGAUGUUUGAAACCUAUUGCAUUAAUUUUCAUAUCCUCUACUUCUAAAUAUAUGUGUUGAAAAGAC
rnacentral:lncRNA from 1 species